ensembl:snoRNA
AUGCCUCUCUUUGACAGACCUGGAGCAAUUACUGUCUGCUGCUAAGGCUUCCAUUACAGAUGCAGGAAGGAAGUGUCCUCCUGUUUUUUGUCUGACUGUGGCAGCCAAGAUAGAGGGAGAGAAAAGAAG